rfam:Batrachochytrium dendrobatidis JEL423 supercont1.9 genomic scaffold, whole genome shotgun sequence.
GGGGUGUUGGCGCAAUUGGUAGCGCUUUCGACUCCAGAUCGAAGGGUUGCGCGUUCAAGUCGCGUACGCCUCA